rnacentral:rRNA from 1 species
GGUUAAGCGACUAAGCGUACACGGUGGAUGCCCUGGCAGUCAGAGGCGAUGAAGGACGUGCUAAUCUGCGAUAAGCGUCGGUAAGGUGAUAUGAACCGUUAUAACCGGCGAUUUCCGAAUGGGGAAACCCAGUGUGUUUCGACACACUAUCAUUAACUGAAUCCAUAGGUUAAUGAGGCGAACCGGGGGAACUGAAACAUCUAAGUACCCCGAGGAAAAGAAAUCAACCGAGAUUCCCCCAGUAGCGGCGAGCGAACGGGGAGCAGCCCAGAGCCUGAAUCAGUAUGUGUGUUAGUGGAAGCGUCUGGAAAGGCGCGCGAUACAGGGUGACAGCCCCGUACACAAAAAUGCACAUGCUGUGAGCUCGAUGAGUAGGGCGGGACACGUGGUAUCCUGUCUGAAUAUGGGGGGACCAUCCUCCAAGGCUAAAUACUCCUGACUGACCGAUAGUGAACCAGUACCGUGAGGGAAAGGCGAAAAGAACCCCGGCGAGGGGAGUGAAAAAGAACCUGAAACCGUGUACGUACAAGCAGUGGGAGCACGCUUAGGCGUGUGACUGCGUACCUUUUGUAUAAUGGGUCAGCGACUUAUAUUCUGUAGCAAGGUUAACCGAAUAGGGGAGCCGAAGGGAAACCGAGUCUUAACUGGGCGUUAAGUUGCAGGGUAUAGACCCGAAACCCGGUGAUCUAGCCAUGGGCAGGUUGAAGGUUGGGUAACACUAACUGGAGGACCGAACCGACUAAUGUUGAAAAAUUAGCGGAUGACUUGUGGCUGGGGGUGAAAGGCCAAUCAAACCGGGAGAUAGCUGGUUCUCCCCGAAAGCUAUUUAGGUAGCGCCUCGUGAAUUCAUCUCCGGGGGUAGAGCACUGUUUCGGCAAGGGGGUCAUCCCGACUUACCAACCCGAUGCAAACUGCGAAUACCGGAGAAUGUUAUCACGGGAGACACACGGCGGGUGCUAACGUCCGUCGUGAAGAGGGAAACAACCCAGACCGCCAGCUAAGGUCCCAAAGUCAUGGUUAAGUGGGAAACGAUGUGGGAAGGCCCAGACAGCCAGGAUGUUGGCUUAGAAGCAGCCAUCAUUUAAAGAAAGCGUAAUAGCUCACUGGUCGAGUCGGCCUGCGCGGAAGAUGUAACGGGGCUAAACCAUGCACCGAAGCUGCGGCAGCGACGCUGAUGCGUUGUUGGGUAGGGGAGCGUUCUGUAAGCCUGCGAAGGUGUGCUGUGAGGCAUGCUGGAGGUAUCAGAAGUGCGAAUGCUGACAUAAGUAACGAUAAAGCGGGUGAAAAGCCCGCUCGCCGGAAGACCAAGGGUUCCUGUCCAACGUUAAUCGGGGCAGGGUGAGUCGACCCCUAAGGCGAGGCCGAAAGGCGUAGUCGAUGGGAAACAGGUUAAUAUUCCUGUACUUGGUGUUACUGCGAAGGGGGGACGGAGAAGGCUAUGUUGGCCGGGCGACGGUUGUCCCGGUUUAAGCGUGUAGGCUGGUUUUCCAGGCAAAUCCGGAAAAUCAAGGCUGAGGCGUGAUGACGAGGCACUACGGUGCUGAAGCAACAAAUGCCCUGCUUCCAGGAAAAGCCUCUAAGCAUCAGGUAACAUCAAAUCGUACCCCAAACCGACACAGGUGGUCAGGUAGAGAAUACCAAGGCGCUUGAGAGAACUCGGGUGAAGGAACUAGGCAAAAUGGUGCCGUAACUUCGGGAGAAGGCACGCUGAUAUGUAGGUGAAGUCCCUCGCGGAUGGAGCUGAAAUCAGUCGAAGAUACCAGCUGGCUGCAACUGUUUAUUAAAAACACAGCACUGUGCAAACACGAAAGUGGACGUAUACGGUGUGACGCCUGCCCGGUGCCGGAAGGUUAAUUGAUGGGGUCAGCGCAAGCGAAGCUCUUGAUCGAAGCCCCGGUAAACGGCGGCCGUAACUAUAACGGUCCUAAGGUAGCGAAAUUCCUUGUCGGGUAAGUUCCGACCUGCACGAAUGGCGUAAUGAUGGCCAGGCUGUCUCCACCCGAGACUCAGUGAAAUUGAACUCGCUGUGAAGAUGCAGUGUACCCGCGGCAAGACGGAAAGACCCCGUGAACCUUUACUAUAGCUUGACACUGAACAUUGAGCCUUGAUGUGUAGGAUAGGUGGGAGGCUUUGAAGUGUGGACGCCAGUCUGCAUGGAGCCGACCUUGAAAUACCACCCUUUAAUGUUUGAUGUUCUAACGUGGACCCGUAAUCCGGGUUGCGGACAGUGUCUGGUGGGUAGUUUGACUGGGGCGGUCUCCUCCUAAAGAGUAACGGAGGAGCACGAAGGUUGGCUAAUCCUGGUCGGACAUCAGGAGGUUAGUGCAAUGGCAUAAGCCAGCUUGACUGCGAGCGUGACGGCGCGAGCAGGUGCGAAAGCAGGUCAUAGUGAUCCGGUGGUUCUGAAUGGAAGGGCCAUCGCUCAACGGAUAAAAGGUACUCCGGGGAUAACAGGCUGAUACCGCCCAAGAGUUCAUAUCGACGGCGGUGUUUGGCACCUCGAUGUCGGCUCAUCACAUCCUGGGGCUGAAGUAGGUCCCAAGGGUAUGGCUGUUCGCCAUUUAAAGUGGUACGCGAGCUGGGUUUAGAACGUCGUGAGACAGUUCGGUCCCUAUCUGCCGUGGGCGCUGGAGAAUUGAGGGGGGCUGCUCCUAGUACGAGAGGACCGGAGUGGACGCAUCACUGGUGUUCGGGUUGUCAUGCCAAUGGCACUGCCCGGUAGCUAAAUGCGGAAGAGAUAAGUGCUGAAAGCAUCUAAGCACGAAACUUGCCCCGAGAUGAGUUCUCCCUGACUCCUUGAGAGUCCUGAAGGAACGUUGAAGACGACGACGUUGAUAGGCCGGGUGUGUAAGCGCAGCGAUGCGUUGAGCUAACCGGUACUAAUGAACCGUGAGGCUUAACCUU